rnacentral:rRNA from 1 species
UACGGAAGGUAGCAGUGGGGAAUAUUGCACAAUGGGCGAAAGCCUGAUGCAGCUAUGCCGCGUGUAUGAAGAAGGCCUUAGGGUUGUAAAGUACUUUCAUCGGGGAGGAAAAAACAAAACUAAUAAUUUUAUUUCUUGACGUUACCCGAAAAAGAAGCACCGGCUAACUCCGUGCCAGCAGCCGCGGUAAUACGGAGGGUGCUAGCGUUAAUCAGAAUUACUGGGCGUAAAGAGCACGUAGGUGGUUUUUUAAAGUCAGAUGUGAAAUCCCUGGGCUUAACCUAGGAACUGCAUUUUGAAACUGAAAUACUAGAGUAUCGUAGAGGGAGGUAGAAUUCUAGGUGUAGCGGUGAAAUGCGUAGAUAUCUGGAGGAAUACCUGUGGCGAAAGCGGCCUCCUAAACGAAUACUGACACUGAGGUGCGAAAGCGUGGGGAGCGAAACAGGGAUUAGAUACC